rnacentral:tRNA from 1 species
GGAGAGGUGUAGGAGUGGUUUAACUAGCAGUCCUGGAAAGACUGUAUGCCGCAAGGUAUCGAGGGUUCGAAUCCCUCCCUCUCCG